rnacentral:rRNA from 1 species
CUUGCUGGGGACUUAUCGACGCUCAUGCUCGAAAGUGCGGGUAGCAAACAGGAUUAGAUACCCUGGUAGUCCGCACCGUAAACGAUGCAUACUGGGUGUCCGCGGUUCGCCGCGGGUACCGAAGCCAACGCGUUAAGUAUGCCGCCUGGGGAGUACGUACGCAAGUAUGAAACUCAAAGGAAUUGACGGGGGCCCGCACAAGCGGUGGAGCAUGUGGUUUAAUUCGAAGCAACGCGCAGAACCUUACCAGGGUUUGACAUGGGAACGCCGCGGCGAGAGAUCGCCGUUUGUAGCAAUACACGUUCCGCACAGGUGCUGCAUGACUGUCGUCAGCUCGUGUCGUGAGAUGUUGGGUUAAGUCCCGCAACGAGCGCAACCCACGUUUCCAGUUGCCACCCGCGAGGGGGCCCUCUGGAGAGACUGCCGGGGACAACCCGGAGGAAGGUGUGGAUGACGUCAAGUCCUCAUGGCCCUUACAUCCUGGGCUACACACGUGGUACAAUGGACGGUACAAUGGGUCGCAACGCCGCGAGGCGGAGCCAAUCCUGAAAGCCGUCCUCAGUUCGGAUCGGAGUCUGCAACUCGACUCCGUGAAGCUGGA